UUCAUUAGUUUUCAUCGAAGGUUCAUCCUUUGUUUCUUGGACAUGUCCAUUUGUCAUGUCCGUCUUUGCCACAAAUUCAACAUCUAGAUCUGUUGUCAAUUUCCAUCUAAUUCAUUUCCUUCCUAAGUCUCAAGAAUUGUGAUUUUUCAUUUUAUUGCAACGAUUCUUUUUAUGGUACUAUCAAUAUAUCAUUUGUUAGUUAUGACCAAAUACUUUGCAUGUGGGAUCGGUUGAAAUUAAUGACUAUAACUGUGAUGAUACUCCUUCAGGGUGUAGCACCGAUCAAUAUAUCGUCAGAAAUUAGUUGAGAUAUGAGUACAAACAGCCAUCACAUGUGAAUAUGAUAAAUGAUAGCAUUACCAUUUCUGGCAUAUACACCUAUGCUUCGAUAAUUGCACUAUCUGCACCCUAUAUAGUUAAAAAAUUAAAUUUAUUCAUUUAUUACGAAUAAUAACAUGAUCAUAUAAAGAAAGUUUUUUAUUACCGUUCAUCUGAGUAUUGUUGUCUUUAUUCAUAUAAGGCCCAUGGAAUAUCGUUUGUACUUGAAACACCCCACUUGUCCUAUCAAAUCUUAUAAUAUUAUGGGA
rnacentral:lncRNA from 1 species